CCUACGGGGGGCAGCAGUGGGGAAUAUUGGACAAUGGGGGGAACCCUGAUCCAGCCAUGCCGCGUGUGUGAAGAAGGCCCUCGGGUUGUAAAGCACUUUCAGUGAGGAAGAACGCCUGGUGGUUAAUACCCAUCAGGAAAGAUAUCACUCACAGAAGAAGCACCGGCUAACUCCGUGCCAGCAGCCGCGGUAAUACGGAGGGUGCGAGCGUUAAUCGGAAUUACUGGGCGUAAAGCGCGCGUAGGUGGCUUGAUAAGCCGGUUGUGAAAGCCCCGGGCUCAACCUGGGAACGGCAUCCGGAACUGCCAAGCUAGAGUGCAGGAGAGGAAGGUAGAAUUCCCGGUGUAGCGGUGAAAUGCGUAGAGAUCGGGAGGAAUACCAGUGGCGAAGGCGGCCUUCUGGACUGACACUGACACUGAGGUGCGAAAGCGUGGGUAGCAAACAGGAUUAGAUACCCGAGUAGUC
rnacentral:rRNA from 1 species